rnacentral:lncRNA from 1 species
AUGGCGCAGGGACCUCAGGGGGUGCCUCAGGGACCUUUUUUGGGUGCUGCUUCCCCUUCCCAGGGUAACAGCGGGACACGGGGAGAGCUGCACAUGCCCCCCCCCGAGGCUGUGGCACACCUCGCCUGGGGCACCCCUGACAUUGGGGAGCACAACAGGAGCGGGGCCGCUCGGCUGCCCAGGGGAAAUGUCCCCGAGGGUGGGUGCUGUGUUUGCCACAGCGCUCCCCCCGCUGACGCAGCUCCCCCCCGGCACAGGCUGGGCUUCCUGCCCAUGCCUCCGCAGAGCAGCCAGCAGGUACCUGCGGCUUCAUGUCUGAUCGCAGAAGCCAAGACAAUAGCUUUGUGGUUGCUCUGCUCUGAGCUGUUUCCAAAAACCCGGGGGCUGGUGGCGUGGCACAGCCUGGGCACGAGGCGUCCCCUCGGCUUUGUCCCCAGCCCGGCCAGCACCGUGGCUCUCGGGGUGCUGAGGCCUCGGGUGAUGCAGUGGGGGCAGCCAAAUUGGGGGCUGCGGGUGCGAGCGGUGUCACGCAGCCCACAUGGGGUCCGGCACGGCAAAGCCAGCGCUGAGCCUGCAGACACUGAGCACUGGGGAGGGGGCUGCAGAGGGGACAGGGGGGUCAAAACAUCCUGGGCAGUGGGUGACAAAAUCCCAGCCAUUGCUGGCGCUACACUGACAAUGCCCAGCUCGUGGGACCCUGCUCCCCCUGAGCAAACAUCUCCGUGUCCCUCCGUGUCCCUCCGUGUCCCCUCGCCCACCUGGGGCUGGGGGGUGCCCGGAUCAGGGACCCCCCUCGCGCAGCCCAGCUGGGGCUGGCAGGAAGCUUUAGGGUUUGUCACUAGCUCUUUGCGGUCGUGCGCGAGCUGUGAACCAGCUUCUCUAGAGUUUGCUCAUGAGGCAGGAAACCAGGGCAGGCGGCGAGCAAGAGCGAGCAGCGGCGGCGGCAGGGAGCGCGCGCCCGCCUGCGGGGUCGUGGCUGCGCACCCGGCCGGUCACCGCGUGCCCGCUGCUGAUGGGGAGGACGUGAACGGGGUCGGGGUCCUCACUGCUGCUGCCCAGCCAUGGGAGUCUGAGAGCUGCUCGUCCUCACCUCGCUGCCACCAGGUAACAGGGGCCGGGGCAGGGGUCUGCGCCCCUCAACGGGUGCCGGGAUCCGCGGGGUGCCUGGGGCAGGGGGUGUUGUGCUCUCCGAUGUGGCUCCGUGGAGGGGUGUUAAUGGGGGAUCACCACUGUGGCACUGGGAGCACUGGUUCCACAGGGGGUCGGGAGGUGACGCGGGGAGCAGCCCCAGUGCUCCCCGUCCUGCUGCGGCCACCCAGGGGGGGUGACAGCGGCCGCCCCGCUGCCUGGUGCCCACCCGGGGUGCGAGCGCUGCCCCCUCACAGUCCUGACCCUAAACCCCCAUCUUUGGGGCAAAACGGGUGCCGUGUCCCCAACGCCAGGCCCUGUCCGCAGAGCUGCGGGUUAGUCCUGGCCCACCACGGCCCCGUUGAGGAUGGUUUCAGUCCAAGAUGUGUCUGUUUUUGGUGCUUUUUUGGUGCUGUUUUGGAGCAAACGCCUCCCUGCCCGCCGUGA